rnacentral:rRNA from 1 species
UAAGGAAUAUUGGUCAAUGGACGCAGGUCUGAACCAGCCAUGCCGCGUGAAGGAUGAAGGCCCUCUGGGUUGUAAACUUCUUUUAUCUGGGACGAAAAAAGGGGAAUCUUCCUCACUUGACGGUACCAGAGGAAUAAGCACCGGCUAACUCCGUGCCAGCAGCCGCGGUAAUACGGAGGGUGCAAGCGUUAUCCGGAUUUACUGGGUUUAAAGGGUGCGUAGGUGGGUAGGUAAGUCAGUGGUGAAAUCUUCGAGCUUAACUCGGAAACUGCCAUUGAUACUAUUUAAAUCUUGAAUACUUUGGAGGUAAGCGGGAUAUGUCAUGUAGCGGUGAAAUGCUUAGAUAUGACAUAGAACACCAAUUGCGAAGGCAGCUUACUACACAGUCAUUGACACUGAGGCACGAAAGCGUGGGGAGUCAAACAGGAUUAGAUACCCUGGUAGUCCACGCCCUAAACCGAUAGGAUACUCGACAUUAGCGAUACACAGUUAGUGU